rnacentral:rRNA from 1 species
GACGAACGCUGGCGGCAGGCCUAACACAUGCAAGUCGAACGAGUGGCGGACGGGUGAGUAAUGUCUGGGACACUGCCUGAUGGAGGGGGAUAACUACUGGAACCGGUAGCUAAUACCGCAUACCAUCAGAUGUGCCCAGAUGGGCUUGGCUUGUUGGUGGGGUAACGGCUCACCAAGGCGACGAUCCCUAGCUGGUCUGCGAGGGUGACCGGCAACACGGGAACGGAGACACGGUCCGGACUCCGACGGGAGGCAGAAGUGGGGAAUAUUGCACAAUGGGCGCAAGCCUGAUGAAGCCAUGCCGCGGGUAUGAAGAAGGCCUUCGGGUUGUAAAGUACUUUCAGCGGGGAGGCGGUACCCGCAGAAGAAGCACCGGCUAACUCCGUGCCAGCAGCCGCGGUAAUUC